CCUACGGGUGGCAGCAGUGGGGAAUAUUGCACAAUGGGGGGAACCCUGAUGCAGCGACGCCGCGUGAGUGAAGAAGUAUUUCGGUAUGUAAAGCUCUAUCAGCAGGAACGAGACAAGACGGUACCUGACUAAGAAGCCCCGGCUAACUACGUGCCAGCAGCCGCGGUAAUACGUAGGGGGCAAGCGUUAUCCGGAAUCAAUGGGUGGAAAGGGAGCGUAGACGGCUGAGCAAGCCUGAAGUGAAAGGCGGGGGCCCAACCCCCGGACUGCUUUGGGAACUGUACGGCUGGAGUGCAGGAGAGGUAAGUGGAAUUCCUAGUGUAGCGGUGAAAUGCGUAGAUAUUAGGAGGAACACCAGUGGCGAAGGCGGCUUACUGGACUGUAACUGACGUUGAGGCUCGAAAGCGUGGGGAGCAAACAGGAUUAGAUACCCGAGUAGUC
rnacentral:rRNA from 1 species